GUGUAUAAGUCUCUUGGAACAGAGCGUCAUAGAGGGUGAGAAUCCCGUCUUUGACACGGACUACCAAUGCUUUGUGAUACACUCUCAAAGAGUCGAGUUGUUUGGGAAUGCAGCUCAAAAUGGGUGGUAAAUUCCAUCUAAAGCUAAAUAUUGGCGAGAGACCGAUAGCGAACAAGUACCGUGAGGGAAAGAUGAAAAGCACUUUGGAAAGAGAGUUAAACAGUACGUGAAAUUGCUGAAAGGGAAACGAUUGAAGUCAGUCGCGUUAGCUAGAACUCAACCAGGCUUGCUUGGCGUAUUUUCUAGUUAACGGGCCAGCAUCAGUUUUGACCGCAGGAAAAAGGCCAGAGAAAUGUGGCACCCUCGGGUGUGUUAUAGUCUUUGGUCAUAUACUGCGAUUGGGACUGAGGUUCGCAGCACGCGCAAGCUGUGCUUAGGAUGCUGGCGUAAUGGCUUUAAACGACCCGUCUUGAAACACGGACCAAGGAGUCUAACAAACCUGCGAGUAUUUGGGUGGUAAACCCGAGUGCGCAAUGAAAGUAAAAGUUGGGAUCCCUGUCGUGGGGAGCACCGACGCCCGGACCAGACCUUCUGUGACGGAUCUGCGGUAGAGCAUGUUUGUUGGGACCCGAAAGAUGGUGAACUAUG
rnacentral:rRNA from 1 species